ACUUACGGCCAUACCAGCCUGAAUGGACCCGAUCUCGUCAGAUCUCGGAAGCUAAGCAGUGUCGUGCCCGGUUAGUACUUGGAUGGGAGACUGCUUGGGAAUACCAGGUGCUGUAAGCA
rnacentral:rRNA from 1 species